ACCUGUGUGGCUCAGUCGGUUAAGCGUCCGACUUCAGCUCAGGUCAUGAUCUCAGGGUUUGUGGGUUCAAGCCCCGCUUCAGGCU
rnacentral:tRNA from 1 species